UACGUAGGUGGCAAGCGUUAUCCGGAAUUAUUGGGCGUAAAGAGGGAGCAGGCGGUCUUUUAAGUCUGAUGUGAAAGCCUUCGGCUUAACCGGAGUAGUGCAUUGGAAACUGGGAGACUUGAGUGCAGAAGAGGAGAGUGGAACUCCAUGUGUAGCGGUGAAAUGCGUAGAUAUAUGGAAGAACGCCAGUGGCGAAAGCGGCUCUCUGGUCUGUAACUGACGCUGAGGUUCGAAAGCGUGGGUAGCAAACAGG
rnacentral:rRNA from 1 species